rnacentral:snRNA from 1 species
GGAUGUGAGGGUGAUCUGGCUGUGACAUCUGUCACCCCAUUGAUCUCCAGGGUUGAUUUGUCAGAUCUGGCUGGCUUGGUGGGUGUCUCCUUCCUCCCUCACUGCUCCAUGUGUUUCCCUCCCUAAGCUGUGUGCUUGGUCAAAGAGGAUGGCCUUCCCGAAGAGAGACAGACUGGUCUUUGGUCAAGGGUAUAUGAGUAGCUGCACUCUCCCUGCUAGAACCUCCAAACAAGCUCUCAAAUCUACUCCAUGAAUAAAAUUUGGAGGUACCCAGGGUUCAGUGAAAUGGAUUUCUGCUUCUAUUUCAUGUCUUUUCCCAUAAGUAUAU